rnacentral:rRNA from 1 species
GACGAACGCUGGCGGCGUGCUUAACACAUGCAAGUCGAACGGAAAGGCCCUGCUUUUGUGGGGUGCUCGAGUGGCGAACGGGUGAGUAACACGUGAGUAACCUGCCCUUGACUUUGGGAUAACUUCAGGAAACUGGGGCUAAUACCGGAUAGGAGCUCCUGCUGCAUGGUGGGGGUUGGAAAGUUUCGGCGGUUGGGGAUGGACUCGCGGCUUAUCAGCUUGUUGGUGGGGUAGUGGCUUACCAAGGCUUUGACGGGUAGCCGACCUGAGAGGGUGACCGGCCACAUUGGGACUGAGAUACGGCCCAGACUCCUACGGGAGGCAGCAGUGGGGAAUAUUGCACAAUGGGCGGAAGCCUGAUGCAGCAACGCCGCGUGCGGGAUGACGGCCUUCGGGUUGUAAACCGCUUCCGCCUGUGACGAAGCGUGAGUGACGGUAAUGGGUAAAGAAGCACCGGCUAACUACGUG